UACGGAGGGUGCGAGCGUUGUCCGGAAUCACUGGGCGUAAAGGGCGCGUAGGCGGCCUGAUAAGUAGGGGGUGAAAUCCUGCGGCUUAACCGCAGGGCUGCCUUCUAAACUGUCAGGCUCGAGCACAGUAGAGGCAGGUGGAAUUCCCGGUGUAGCGGAUGGAAUGCGUAGAGAUCGGGAAGAACAUCAGUGGCGAAGGCGGCCUGCUGGGCUGUUGCUGACGCUGAGGCGCGACAGCGUGGGGAGCAAACAGG
rnacentral:rRNA from 1 species